rnacentral:misc_RNA from 1 species
AACUGAUACUACCUGCGGGAACCUGCGGAGGGAUCAUUAAUGAGAAACUGCCCCUCGCGGGUAGAUCUCCCACCCUUUGUAAACUUACCUUUGUUGCUUUGGCAGGCCCGUCUCCGGACCGCCGGCUUCGGCUGGCCAGUGCCUGCCAGAGGAUUCUAAAACUCUGUCUGUCAGUGUUGUCUGAGUCUAUAUACAAUCGUUAAAACUUUUAGCAACGGAUCUCUAGAUCGGAAGAGCACA